rnacentral:piRNA from 1 species
CAGGAAGAUGGAACCUUCAGCUUGUGC